UAAUAAUUUGAUUUUGGUUGUUUAUUAAUUUUUAUUUAUUAAUUUAUAUGGAUUAUUAUUAUAAAUAUUAAUCAUUCCAGUAAUUAGUAUUAAAUUUUUGUUUUAAUAAAUGAUUUAGUAAUUAAAUGAACAGUGGAUAAAAUUUGUGCCAGCAUUCGCGGUUAUACAAUUCACUGAAGUUAAUUUUAUAAAGUUUUAAAAAUUUAUUAAACUUGAAUUUUUAAUUUUUGUAUUUAAGUGGAAUUUAUACUUAAUAUUAUAUUCUUUAUUUAAAUAUUAAUAAAUUUUAACUAUAAACUAGGAUUAGAUACCCUAUUAUAUUUAAUGUAAAUUUAAAACUUGGAAUUGUAUUAGUUAUGUUCUUUAAAGCUCAAGGAAUUUGGCGGUUAAAUAUCUUUUUAGAGGAAUCUGUUAAUUAAUUUGAUAAUCCACGAUAGUUUAUACUUUAAUUUUUAUUUGUAUAUCGCUAUGUCAGAAUGUUUUUAUAGAAUAUUUUCUAUUUCUAUUUUAGAAUAAUAUUAGGUCAAGGUGCAGUUUUAUUAAAGGUUAAAUGGGUUACUUUUAUUAUAAAAAAUGAAUUAAUUAUUGGUUGUUUAAAUUUUAAAAUUAGGAUUUAAUAGUAAGUUUAAUUAAUUUAUUAAUCUUAAUUUUGCUCUGUUUAAUGUACAUAUCGCCCGUCACUCCUAAAUUAAUUAGGAUAAGUCGUAACAAAGUAAUUUUACCGGAAGGUGAAGUUAGAUAGUUU
rnacentral:ncRNA from 1 species